rnacentral:lncRNA from 1 species
CUUCACUGGACUUUCACAGUUGCUGAGACGAGAAGCGGCUGGUCCAAGGGCACAUAGUGGAGCCCCUGAACCUCGAAGUCUGACCUCCACCCACCUCCUGGUUGCAUUGGAAGCUUCAGUGGCUGCAGCUGCACCCUGGGAAGAGUCGGUGGCCCAGAAGGUGGUGGUGAAAGGACAUCCACGAAGAUGCUGCCCAGAGUAAACACCCAAAGCCUUCGAACCUGUGCUGUGGAUGAAAACAUCUAGGCACGUUCACGAUUUGCAUUGGAAUAUCCACAAUUUUCACAUAUAGUCGUGUACUCCGCCUUGAGGCUGGGUCCACCAGGGACCAGAUGACACUCUAGACCAUAGAGUCCAGCAGCCACGUAGUAGGCUAUACCAUCGACGUUUGUUGAAGAACAGUGUUUGGCGUCCACACAGUGACUGUCACUUAACCAUACGUUUCGCAGAACAUAUGCCCGUCAUUAAGUGACAUGAAAUCUCGAGAACGAUAAAAUAAUAGCAAUAAUUAUUCUGAUGAAAUACAGAUGUGCCUUUCAUUCUGAUGAAAGAGAAACUUAACUGCCCACGAAUCUCUUGAUAUUUAAGUCAUGGUUGUAUGGGUGUCUCUGCAUUUAAUGCCUUUUUUUGUUGGCCUUCCUGACUUGCAAGAUGAGAAAAGGGGAUUCCCAAACUAAAGAAAUUUGGUUGAGUAAACUGGGUGUAUUCAAGGGAGAAAAUAUUAAGCAACCAUUAGCUUCAACGCUUAUGAAGAAUUUUUAGUACCAUGAGAACACUCUUAGAAAUAAUGCCAAGGGAUAAAAGGAGAAUGGAUGAUUAUAUACAAAGAUCAUUCCAACGCUGUGCUUAGAGACGAUGGGAAGAAAGACUGGCAGUAAGAGACCAAAAUGCUGUGUUGUUGCCUCUGGAUAGUGAGGUCAGAAGGGGUUCCCCCCCCCCUAUACUUUUUGGGCUUUCUACAAUACUCAUCUUUAUAAUCAAAGCAAAACACAAGAUAAAAGCCAGGGAGAAAUUGGAGAAUGUUGCAAGCCAUAGAGUCCAUUAGCCACAUAGUAGGCUACACCACUGACAUUUGUUGAAGAAUAGUUUUUGCAAGCCAGGGUUUUGUUUUGUUUUUAGACAUUGAUGGACCUUUAUUUUAUUCAUUUAUUUAUAUAUGGUGCUGAGAAUCGAACCCAGGGCCUCACACAUGCUAGGCAAGUGCUCUACCACUAAGCCACCACCCUAGCCCACCAGGAUUUCUUAUUAAAAAGACAGAUUCUGGCAUUAAAGGACUAAGUGACGCAAAUUUGUGCUGUUUGCAAAGCGAAAGGGUGGAAACUCCACCUCCUCCUGCCUGGGUGGCUGAACAGCAUCAGUAUAGUUGACAAGGAGCAAAUGGACAGGUCCUUUGGAGUUAUACUGAGAAACUCAUAGGCUUUGAGCAAAAUUAACCACUCUGACCUUCAGUUUCUUCAUCUGUUACAUGAGGAUGAUAAUGCCU